rnacentral:rRNA from 1 species
UACGUAGGGUGCAGGCGUUAAUCGGAAUUAUUGGGCGUAAAGGGCGCGUAGGUGGCUGCGUAAGUCGAAUGUGAAAGCUCUGGGCUCAACCCAGAAAGUGCAUUUGAUACUGCGCAGCUUGAGUCCCGGAGAGGGUGGUGGAAUUCCCAGUGUAGAGGUGAAAUUCGUAGAUAUCAAGAGGAACACCUGAGGUGAAGACGGGUUGCUGGGCUGACACUGACGCUGAGGCGCGAAAGCUAGGGUAGCAAACGGG